rnacentral:rRNA from 1 species
UGGGGAAUAUUGGACAAUGGGCGAAAGCCUGAUCCAGCCAUGCCGCGUGUGUGAAGAAGGUCUUCGGAUUGUAAAGCACUUUAAGUUGGGAGGAAGGGCAGUUACCUAAUACGUGAUUGUUUUGACGUUACCGACAGAAUAAGCACCGGCUAACUCUGUGCCAGCAGCCGCGGUAAUACAGAGGGUGCAAGCGUUAAUCGGAAUUACUGGGCGUAAAGCGCGCGUAGGUGGUUAGUUAAGUUGGAUGUGAAAUCCCCGGGCUCAACCUGGGAACU